GCAGCCACUUCGAACAAAAAUAUAUCAUGAUGAAGAAGCUGACAACGUCAGCAGUUCCAACACUGAACUUACCAGUGUCAGAGGCUGCCUCUAUUAAAAUAGAGCAGCAAGACACCCGGAUGGAAAUACCAGAAGAAGAAGAAGAAUGCAAACCUGACUGCACUGGGGAAUAGACAGUAAGAGUGGCAU